rfam:Salmo salar isolate Sally breed double haploid chromosome ssa16, whole genome shotgun sequence.
UGCAUUCACUACUGUAAGUCGCUCUGGAUAAGAGCGUCUGCUGGAUAUCAGAGU